GCCGAGCACAUGGGCCCGCGGGCCGGGCGGGCUCGGGGCGGCCGGGACGAGGAGGGGCGACGACGAGCUGCGAGCAAAGAUGUGCCCCGGGACCCCCGGCACCUUCCAGUGGAUUUCCUUGCGGAAAGGAUGUUGGCGGUCCCUGUGACCUGUGGAGACACGGCCAGAUCUGCCCUCCAGCCUGAUCUUUUGGCCAGAAGGAGAUUAAAAAGAUGCCCCUCAAGAUGGCUGUGCCUGUCAGCUGCAUGGAGCUUCGUUCAAGUAUUUUCUGAGCCUGAUGGAUUUACAGUGAUCUUCAGUGGUCUGGGGAAUAACGCUGGUGGAACCAUGCACUGGAAUGACACACGCCCGGCACAUUUCAGGAUACUAAAAGUGGUUUUAAGGGAGGCUGUGGCUGAAUGCCUCAUGGAUUCUUACAGCUUGGAUGUCCAUGGGGGACGAAGGACUGCAGCUGGCUGAGAGGGUUGAGAUCUCUGUUUACUUAGAUCUCUGCCAACUUCCUUUGGGUCUCCCUAUGGAAUGUAAGACCCCGACUCUUCCUGGUGAAGCAUCUGAUGCACGUUCCAUCCGGCGCUCAGCUGGGCUUGAGAAUCCUGUUACACCUGGGAUUUAGGCACUUUCAAUCUGAAAAAAUACAUAUCCUUUCAGCACUCUGGACGGACUUGAGAACUGUCCUUACGUGACCUAAAGCUGGAGUAUUUUGAGAUUGGAGAAUUAAGGCCAACAGAGAUUUUGAGAAACACAUUGAAGGAUCUGUUAACACUUGAUAUACCCAAUAAAAGCAGUGGUUGUGCCAGUGCUGAUCUGUCUUGAUGUGAAUGUGAACAAUGGGAACCUGAGCUGAGCAGUUAAUGCUAGGGUGACAGAAACUGGACCUCUCCCAAGACAUGUGACAGAGUAAUACAGCAGCCAACUUCUUCGCCAAAUUAAAGUUUUACAAGAUUUAACCUGUCAUCAAGACCUGGGAUUUUGGUGAAGGACAGAAUAACGGGCUCCCAGAUUCACAAGCCCCACCAAGAGGAUCACCCCAGGAACGCUUGGAGGCUGAGGAGUUCACUGAGGCUACUGCAUCUUGAGACUCAGGAUGAAGACCCAGCUUGGGGCUGUCAAAGGUUUUUUGCAUGUCUGACACCCAUGACUCCACCUGGACCUUAUGGCUCCACCCAGAAGCAAUUCAGCCCAACAGGAGGACAGCUUCAACCCAUUACGAUUUCAUCUCUG
rnacentral:lncRNA from 1 species